GGCUCCUUAGCUCAUCAGGAUAGAGCAUUCGUUUCCUAAACGAAGGGUAGUGGGUUCGAGUCCCUCAGGAGCCGCCA
rnacentral:tRNA from 1 species